rnacentral:rRNA from 1 species
UUAAAUUGAAGAGUUUGAUCAUGGCUCAGAUUGAACGCUGGCGGCAGGCCUAACACAUGCAAGUCGAACGGUAACAGGAAGCAGCUUGCUGCUUUGCUGACGAGUGGCGGACGGGUGAGUAAUGUCUGGGAAACUGCCUGAUGGAGGGGGAUAACUACUGGAAACGGUAGCUAAUACCGCAUAACGUCGCAAGACCAAAGAG